CACAGUUCGCUGGGAGGAUUUCAAUAAUGUUAGGAUCUAGCCAUUCUGGGACUGAGAGUGUCAAAUCCAGGACCUGAAGCCCAGCGUGAGAAAUCUGGUGGAUGGCUGGUACUGUCAGCUCACGCAGAGUGGAAGAGAAGAAGGGAGAGCUGGGCUUGCCCCUGAACAGAGAGAAAUGGAAGUGGUUUUAGCCUAGGUUGGCAUUUUGUAACCUCAGAGAGGUGGUGCAAGCAUCCACUGAGACCUGCCACCGCCCAGUUCUAAGGAGGCUUGAGAGGCAGGAAGAGAAGCCCAUCCAGGAGCUGACACGGCAGUGCCAGGCAUAUUUGCCGUCCAGGACUCCUGGAUGGAUGAGGAUGCAGUCCUUCACUGAGCAGUGAUAGGUGACAAGGAGCCCUUUGCUAAGAUCUGGGAGCCACUACUUUCUGGAGAAACUUGUGGACAAAGCAGCUGCCUGGUUUCCUCCACACACAGAGGAAUUCUCCAUGUGGACUCAACUCCAGAGAAGCUUCUGUGCCCUCAGGGAGGCUGCACUGUGCACGCUGCCUGCUCAGCCUGUGUCCAGCAGCCAUGUUAAAGUGGACACAGUCAUUGGCUUUCAAGAGCUGGGCUUGGAGAACAUUGGGACCAGCAGACCAUGGAAGUGGAAUCCCAUUUAUGGCUCCUCUUCUGACACCAGCAGACCCCACAUGUCCCUAAAGGGCUCUUUUCUUCUAUCCAUUUGGCAUUCUUCACAUCCCACCAGAUUCUCUGUCCCAUAUUUCCCACUCAUCAGUACCUGAAAAUUCAGCCAUCACAAAACUUCACCACAAAGUCUUCAUCCUCCUCUGCCAGCCUGAUUUCUCAGGCCUCCCACCCAAGCAUACACCACCUUCAGGCGCCGGCAGUUUGUGCCUUUGGUUUCUCCUUCCCUCUUCAAUUCCUUUUACUCCACGACCCUUGAAAAAACCUAACAUGUCAUCUGUAAAAUAUCUUUUCAGCCUACCCCUAUACUUUUCUGCUCAUGCUUCAGUUAUCGCAUUCCUCAACUAGCACAGGGCUUACUUUCUGCUUUUUCAGUUCCUUUUUCUGCCUUUUCCCUCUUCUUUCCCUCUCACUGUGCUCUUGCCUCAUCCCUUGUCCUCACAACUCCUCUCCCUAAUCUCCUCUCUCCACCAUCAAAAGGGGCCUCAGCAUAUGAAAAAAUGUUCAACAUCACUAAUUAUUAGAGAAAUGCAAAUCAAAACUACAACGAGGUACCACUUCACACCAGUCAGAAUGGCCAUGAUUAAUUAAGUCCACAAAUAAAAAGUGCUGGAGAGGGUGUGGAGAAAAGGGAACCCUCUUGAACUUUUGGUGGGAAUGUAGAUUGGUACAAGCACUAUGGAAAA
ensembl:lncRNA